UACAGGUGGCACAGAGGAACAGAAGGUUGGGGGAUUGAUGUGUUUCCAGACAUCACGAAAUGAAGCUCUGCCAGAACUGAGAGGUAUCCUCCCUCUGUCUCAUGUUUUAAUCCUGCGUCUCUUUUUCUUUUCAUUAAGAUAAAAUAUUUCCUUAAUCCACAACAUUGAAGUUGUUUUUUUUUUCAGGUAAGCCCUAAGUCACCAGUAUUCUCCCACUUCAGGAAAGCUGAGCGCCAUCAGCUAACGGCCAUGAAUAUUUCAGCUGAUGUCAUUAUUAUUUCACAAUGGUAAAUGCUGCAGGGAAGAGCUGGGAGAUGGCAGCAUGUUUCAUUCAGCUGCACCUGAGGGACAGCCUCCUCCCUGCUGGCUUCCGAGGCACUUUGCAGACCAUUCCUGCUGAGCUGGAGGCAGAGGAACAAGUUGUGCAGCACCCAGUCCAAAACCCUGCUCCAUUCAGAAGCUUCAGAUCUGCAGGAUGGACUGUGAGCACAGAGGCAGCUGGGAGAGCCUUCAAACCUAUGCUGGAGCUUUUGUGUCUUCUUGUGCUGUGAACCAAAGCCUGCAGCCCCACAGACAGAAUCUUCAGUUCUCCAGAAUACAGUCUCAGGAGGCUUCAGGAGCUGAGACGGGCAGAAAAGCAGCAGCUUGCUGCCUGACCUGCCGGCGUGCACACAGGACCCAGACAUAAAAGCAAAUCCACAACCAGCAUGGAUGCAGUGAGAGCCCCCACAGCAUUGCACUGAGAGAGGAGCAGGGAUCAGGUGAUGAAAAUCAGUUCGCUUCUGACAUGCUGCAUGCUUCACUUCUCCCUCCCUUGGGCCACAGCUCGUGUGACAUGCUGCUCCCAGCUGCACAUGGGUGGCUCGGCUGUGAGGAGUACAUGUACUGGAGGCCAUGAGCAUCAUGUGUGUUUUAGUUUCCAGAUCCAACUCUUGAACAUAGAGCAUUUAUAGGAAACCUGUAGUUUGCUUAUUUAUUUAUCCAUCUCUUCCUGUGACUUCCAAGCAACGCUUUAGUUGUCUUUAUGCUAAUCUGAGCGCUGCUGAAUAGAGAGGCCUUUUUCCCCCCAUUCUGUCCUGCGAGAGGUCAUCUUUAUUCAAGAGCUAUGAAUGAUGUGUGCGGGGUACUAAUCACACACAAAGAGCCACGUCCGGAGCCAGCCAAGCAUACAGCUGUCCCUUUGUUCACAGAGAUGGAGAUGGAACCUAAAAAACGCUCCUGACCCAGGGACAAUAGCAGCGGCUUGUGAGACGCCUGAGAUUUGGCAGGGCCUCUCCUUCCUGGUGCUAAAGGGCCUUUAUUAAGCAUAAAUCACAUCAUCUGCCACCGCAGCCCUUUCUCAGCUUAUAAAAGAUUCCCCUUUGCUGCCUAAGUGACAUGAUGGAAUGGAAUCGCUCUGAAAUACCCUGAAGACCGGAGCAAGGGACCAGGUUAGGACAAAUGGCACUUCUGGCUGUUUAAUAGUAACACUUUACUGUCACCAUUACAAAAGUGUUUGCAGCUGGGUUCAUUUUUUAAGCUGGGUGGAUUCUGUGCUGGAUGGAAAUGUCAGGAAGCCACCAGAAAGGUUUGAUACCUGUGAGUUAUGAACGCAGAGCCCAACAAGCUCCGGGAUAAACAUGUUGCCAGCGCUGAUAUCACUGAAAAACUCUGAUGCCUCAGGCUCCGAGAAAAUAAAUCAGCGCAGAGCAUCUCUGCAAAGAGCAUCUCUGUUCAGGGAGUAAUUAUCAGCCUCCUCUGCUCGGUGAUGUAAGAUCAGACUGCCACGUUUCCCCAGGAAGUAAAUAUUCUUCUUUCCCUUGGAAAUAAAAGGGCAGCCUGAGCAUAAGGAACAGAAUUGCCAACAGAAAAUGCUUUGCUUCACAUAGUGCUGUUGGCAAAUCCUGCCCCUCACUACCCAGCUGGUGCUUUUGUGCAAGAGGAGGCCCUGAGAUGUGAGAGAGAGCACGGAAUGUGGCAUCCACAGCAGCUCUGGGGAGGACAUGGAUGCGUCAGCAGGUUGAGGUCCUCUCAGCACACCAAGCUGGCCAGGAAUGACUCAAAGAAACCCCACAGGCUGUAACUCUCUGCAUAAAUUUUCUGCUUCUCAUACAGAAAGGUAUCAGCAAAAGCUGGCUCAGAUGCCUUGCCCAUCCCUCCUCCACCUGCUCAUGUUAACCUCUGUGGACAUAUCCAAUUUUACAGCUGUCAGGACAGUUGUCACAGGGAAUGUGGUUCUCUCCCACCAGCAUCCGUGCCAGCAGGCUGCUGUCUGUGUUCCAGUGCCUCGCAGUUCUCCUGGGCUGGGUGCACCAAGACUGUGCUGCAAUUAGCUGAGUGCAUUUGCUUUACCUGCUGGAACAGGUAAUUCAGUAGCUGGCACUAAUUCCCAAAUUCAGCAUCCAUGCAACACUCAGUGACACUUCUGAUGAUCACCUUGCAGACUCUGUGAAAGCAUAUUAGUGGCUCUCACAGGCAAGCCUGUCACUGGGUAACAAACAGAGUAAUUUUUCAUACUCCCAACACAUCCUGCAGUUUUUGACAAGGAUCCCUGCUGCCUCUCCCAAGGAUUCCUAUGUAGCUGAGAGCAUGAGCCAGUGUCUCACAGCACAGCUCCUGUGCAAAAUGAAGCAUCACUGAGACCACGUCUUGGCUCUGGUUGUGCCUUCCCUACAGGACUCCAGGGUCAGGUCCCAGUGCUGAUAAACAGGCAGGCUUCUUGUUCUGCUUUCACUGUCUGUUUGUAGAAAGCUGAGUUGACUGUUGAGAUUUUCCGGAUUUAUGUUAUA